rnacentral:rRNA from 1 species
CGCGUUGGGAGCUCUCCCAUAUGGUCGACCUGCAGGCGGCCGCGAAUUCACUAGUGAUUCGUAUUACCGCGGCUGCUGGCACGUAGUUAGCCGGUGCUUAUUCUUCAGGUACCGUCAUUAGCCAAGGGUAUUAUCCUCAGCCGUUUCUUCCCUGACAAAAGAGCUUUACAACCCGAAGGCCUUCUUCACUCACGCGGCAUUGCUGGAUCAGGCUUGCGCCCAUUGUCCAAAAUUCCCCACUGCUGCCUCCCGUAGGAGUCUGGACCGUGUCUCAGUUCCAGUGUGGCUGGUCGUCCUCUCAGACCAGCUACUGAUCGUCGCCUUGGUAGGCCUUUACCCUACCAACUAGCUAAUCAGAUAUCGGCCGCUCCACAAGCAUGAGGCCCGAAGGUCCCCCACUUUCAUCCGUAGAUCGUAUGCGGUAUUAGCGUAACUUUCGCUACGUUAUCCCCCACUUCUGGGUACGUUCCGAUAUAUUACUCACCCGUUCGCCACUCGCCGCCAGGUUGCCCCGCGCUGCCGUUCGACUUGCAUGUGUAAAGCAUGCCGCCAGCGUUCAAUCUGAGCCAUGAUCAAACUCUAAUCGAAUUCCCGCGGCCGCC